CUAUGUAUUAUCUAAUUUUAAAGAAGUGAAACCCAGAGAGAUCAGUACAGUUGCAGCAUUAAUUAAUAUUAUUAAUCAUGUCUACUCUAAGGCACAACUUGAAAAGAUAAAUACAUUUGUGCAUAAAAAUCUGGAAGAAUUAAUUGAGAUUGUUAAGAAGAAGAUAAUAAUACGUUGGUUACAAUUAAAAAUAUAUACACUUAUUAUCUGAUGUUUUCAUGAUUGGACAAAAUAAAAUGGGAAUGACCAACUAAUACAAGUUGAUGAAGGGUAACACAAUUGUAACAGUUGCACAUAUUAUGAAUAAGUUUUUAUAUCAUUUCUUUAGUUUUGUUUUUAUAUAUUAUUUCUC